rnacentral:rRNA from 1 species
GACAGAGGGUGCAAACGUUGUUCGGAAUUACUGGGCGUAAAGGGCGCGUAGGCGGUUUGCUAAGUUGGAUGUGAAAACUCUGGGCUUAACCCAGAGCCUGCAUCCAAAACUGGCAAACUUGAGUACUGGAGGGGAAAGCGGAAUUCCUGGUGUAGCGGUGAAAUGCGUAGAUAUCAGGAGGAACACCGGUGGCGAAGGCGGCUUUCUGGACAGUAACUGACGCUGAGGCGCGAAAGCUAGGAGAGCAAACAGG